UACGUAGGUGGCAAGCGUUAUCCGGAUUUAUUGGGCGUAAAGCGAGCGCAGGCGGUUGCUUAGGUCUGAUGUGAAAGCCUUCGGCUUAACCGAAGAAGUGCAUCGGGAACCGGGCGACUUGAGUGCAGAAGAGGACAGUGGAACUCCAUGUGUAGCGGUGGAAUGCGUAGAUAUAUGGAAGAACACCAGUGGCGAAGGCGGCUGUCUGGUCUGCAACUGACGCUGAGGCUCGAAAGCAUGGGUAGCGAACAGG
rnacentral:rRNA from 1 species